rnacentral:lncRNA from 1 species
GGGGAAAAUGGGGGAUUUGGGGGGGAAAUUUGGGGGAAAAGUGGGGGAUUUGGGGCAAAUUGGGGGAUUUGGGGGAAAAUUGGGGGAUUUGGGGGAAAAAUUGGGGGGAAAUUGGGUUAAUUUAGGACAGAUUUGGGGUAAUUUGGGCCAUUUGGGGUGAGUUUGGGUCAUUUUGGUUGAAUUUGUGGCAUUUUGGGGUGAAUUUGGGUCAUUUUUGUGUAAUUUUGGGUUGUUUUGGGGACGUUUGGGUCAAUUUUGGGCGAAUUUGGGUCACUUUGGGGUGAAUUUGUGCCGUUUUGGGGUGAAUUUGUGCCAUUUGGGGGCGAAUUUUGGGCCAUUUUGGGGUGAAUUUGAGUCAUUUCUGGGGAUGUUUGGGUCAAUUUGGGGUGAAUUUGGGGCAUUUUGUGGCAAGUUUGGGUCAAUUUGGGGCAAAUUUGUGCAAUUUGGGGGCAAAUUUGGGGCAUUUUGGGGUGAAUUUGGGUCAUUUUUGGGGAUAUUUGGGUCAAUUUGGGGUGAACUUGGGUCAUUUUGGGGUGAAUUUGGGUCAUUUUGGGGCGAAUUUGUGCCAGUUUGGGGUGAAUUUGAGUCAAUUUGGGGUGAAUUUGAGUCAAUUUGGGGCAAAUUUGGGAUAAUUUGGGUCAUUUUGGGGUGAAUUUGUGCCAUUUUGGGGUGAAUUUGGGUCAAUUUGGGGCAAAUUUGGGUCAAUUUGGGGUGAACUUGGGUCAUUUUGUGGCAAGUUUGGGUCAAUUUGGGGCAAAUUUGUGCAAUUUGGGGGCAAAUUUGGGUCAAUUUGGGGUGAAUUUGGGGCAUUUUGGGAUAAUUUGGGUCAUUUUGGGGUGAAUUUGUGCCAUUUUGGGGCAAAUUUGGGCCAUUUUGGGGCAAAUUGGGGUCAAUUUGGGGUGAAUUUGGGUCAUUUUGGGGGGAAUUUGGGCCAUUUUGGGGCAAAUUUGGGCCAUUUUGGGGUGAAUUUGGGU